CCUCUGUCUUCGGCAAGGAGGAGUACAACAGUGCCAAGACCCGCCGCCCAGAACCUAUCACAGCCACAGUUCAGCAGCAAGCCGGCAGUGUCAUCCAGUAGCAGGCCAGACCUUGUUCCUGAGGAGGAAUAUCUGAUAGACAAUUGGCUGGAGGGUGAUAUGGGCGAUUUUCAGCCAAAGAAGAAGAGAAGAGUGGGGGAGGAGCAGAAUUGAAGCUGGGACUUGACUACAAUGUCAUCAGGGCCCAGGAGUCAAAACAGUCACUCAACUAAGACUGAGAUGGUUAGCAGAGGGGUUUCUCUCUGAGGAAGACUGACGACGACCCCCGACCUUCCACGCCGCCCCAGAACCACCACAACACUCAGCAGCUCUACAGAGAGGGCAGCAGGUCAUAGAGCCCCACAGUAACCGACGCCGAUGACCCCCGACCUUCCACACCACCCCAGACCCACCACAGCACUCAGCAGGUCCUGGCUGAUGUGUGUUCGUGGGACCUCACCCCUGUUCCUGAACAGUACAAGAAGGCCUGUCACAGCCUGGCAGUGGGUGAGUAUGUGGACACACACAUACCUAAUGACCACAGCUGCUACCGCCCUGCUAUAUCUCCUGCCACGGGAAUGUCUAAAUAACACAUUGAUCACAUUAUAA
rnacentral:lncRNA from 8 species